AACGAACGCUGGCGGCAGGCCUAACACAUGCAAGUCGAACGCGUCCUUCGGGACGAGUGGCAGACGGGUGAGUAACGCGUGGGAACGUACCCUUUGGUUCGGAACAACAGCGGGAAACUGCUGCUAAUACCGGAUAAGCCCUUCGGGGGAAAGAUUUAUCGCCAGAGGAUCGGCCCGCGUUAGAUUAGCUUGUUGGUGAGGUAAUGGCUCACCAAGGCUACGAUCUAUAGCUGGUCUGAGAGGAUGAUCAGCCACACUGGGACUGAGACACGGCCCAGACUCUUACGGGAGGCAGCAGUGGGGAAUCUUGGACAAUGGGCGAAAGCCUGAUCCAGCCAUGCCGCGUGAAUGAUGAAGGCCCUAGGGGUUUGUAAAAAUUCUUUCGACGGGGAAGAUAAUGACGGUACCCGUAGAAGAAGCUCCGGCUAACUUCGUGCCAGCAGCCGCGGUAAU
rnacentral:rRNA from 1 species